GUGCAUUCUUAAACCAUCCUGGUAGCAUCACUCUACUUGACUUCUGAGAUAUGAGGGAAUGCUAUAGAAAUUGCAGGGGAGUCCAAAGGGCUGUACUUCUGCUGUGGCUCAGUCUUAUUUCAUACCUGCGACAUAA